rnacentral:rRNA from 1 species
GAUGAACGCUGGCGGCGUGCCUAACACAUGCAAGUCGAACGAAGCUCCCGAACGGACCCCUCCGGGGGGAAGGGAGGGAAGACUUAGUGGCGGACGGGUGAGUAACGCGUGGGCAACCAACCCUGCGCAGGGGGACAACGGCUGGAAACGGCCGCUAAUACCGCAUACUCCUUCCGGGACGCAUGUCCCGGGGGGGAAAACUCCGGUGGCGCAGGACGGACCCGCGUCCGAUUAGCUAGUUGGCGGGGCAACGGCCCACCAAGGCGACGAUCGGUAGCCGGCCUGAGAGGGCGACCGGCCACAUUGGGACUGAGACACGGCCCAAACUCC